rnacentral:rRNA from 1 species
GACUAUGGCGAGGGGGUACCACCCGUUCCCAUCUCGAACACGGCAGUUAAGCCCCUCAGCGCUGAUGGUACUUGUCGGGUGACCGGCUGGGAGAGUAGGACGUUGCCAGGA